UAGGGACGAAGGGUAAGAAUCAUAAUAAGGUUUUUAUUUGACGGUACCUAACGAGGAAGCCACGGCUAACUACGUGCCAGCAGCCGCGGUAAUACGUAGGCGGCAAGCGUUGUCCGGAAUUAUUGGGCGUAAAGGGAGCGCAGGCGGGAAACUAAGCGGAUCUUAAAAGUGCGGGGCUCAACCCCGUGAUGGGGUCCGAACUGGUUUUCUUGAGUGCAGGAGAGGAAAGCGGAAUUCCCAGUGUAGCGGUGAAAUGCGUAGAUAUUGGGAAGAACACCAGUGGCGAAGGCGGCUUUCUGGACUGUAACUGACGCUGAGGCUCGAAAGCUAGGGUAGCGAACGGGAUUAGACACCCCGGUAGUCCUAGCCGUAAACG
rnacentral:rRNA from 1 species